UGGUUAUAACAGGUUACAAAACCUAGGUGAAGGGGACUGGUUAUAACAGCUAGGUGAAGGGGACUGGUUAUAACAGGUUACAACAGCUAGGUGAAGGGGACUGGUUAUAACAGGUUACAACAGCUAGGUGAAGGGGACUGGUUAUAACAGGUUACAACAGCUAGGUGAAGGGGACUGGUUAUAACAGGUUACAACAGCUAGGUGAAGGGGACUGGUUAUAACAGGUUACAACAGCUAGGUGAAGGGGACUGGCUAUAACAACUAGGUGAAGGGGACUGGUUAUAACAGGUUAUAACAGCUAGGUGAAGGGGACUGGUUAUAACAGCUAGGUGAAGGGGACUGGUUAUAACAGUGG